UAAGGAAUAUUGGUCAAUGGACGCAAGUCUGAACCAGCCAUGCCGCGUGGAGGAUGAAGGUCCUCUGGAUUGUAAACUUCUUUUAUCUGGGACGAAACACUUCUUUUCUAAGAGGCCUGACGGUACCAGAUGAAUAAGCACCGGCUAACUCCGUGCCAGCAGCCGCGGUAAUACGGAGGGUGCAAGCGUUAUCCGGAUUUACUGGGUUUAAAGGGUGCGUAGGUGGGCUUAUAAGUCAGUGGUGAAAUCUCCGAGCUUAACUUGGAAACUGCCGUUGAUACUAUAGGUCUUGAAUUAUCUGGAGGUAAGCGGAAUAUGUCAUGUAGCGGUGAAAUGCUUAGAUAUGACAUAGAACACCAAUUGCGAAGGCAGCUUACUACAUAUAAAUUGACGCUGAGGCACGAAAGCGUGGGGAUCAAACA
rnacentral:rRNA from 1 species